rnacentral:rRNA from 1 species
UAGAAGCAGCCAUACAUUUAAAGAGUGCGUAAUAGCUCACUAGUCGAGAAAACCUGCGCCGAAAAUGUAACGGGGCUAAAACACGACACCGAAGCUACGGAUUUCCUACUAGGUAGGAAGUGGUAGAGGAGCAUCCUGCAAGGACGAAGCCAAAGUGAGAGCGAUGGUGGACGAAACAGGAGAGAGAAUGCCGGAAUGAGUAGCGAGAUACAUGUGAGAAACAUGUAGGCCGAAUAUCUAAGGAUUCCUGGGUAAAGCUAAUCUUCCCAGGGUUAGUCGGGGCCUAAGGCGAGGACGAAAGUCGUAGUCGAUGGAUAACAGGUUGAUAUUCCUGUACUACACAUAAUCAGAACUGUGGGGACGCAGGAGGAUAGGGAAACCGGGGAAUGGAAAGACCCGGUCAAGCGUAAAGCUGUGGGAGAUAGGCAAAUCCGUCUCCUGUAAGUGAAACGUGAUGAGGACUGAAAAAAAGUAAGGAAGUUUCCGAAUCCACACUGCCGAGAAAAGCCGCUAUUGCGUUAUGUGUACCCGUACCGUAAACCGACACAGGUAGAUGAGGAGAAAAUCCACAGGCCGACGGGAGAAGCGUUGUUAAGGAACUCGGCAAAAUGACCCCGUAACUUCGGGAUAAGGGGAGCCUCGCAAGAGGCCGCAGAAAAGAGGCACAAGCAACUGUUUAGCAAAAACAUAGGUCUAUGCGAAACCGUAAGGUGAAGUAUAUGGGCUGACGCCUGCCCGGUGCUGGAAGGUUAAGAGGAGAGGUCAGCGCAAGCGAAGCUUUGAAUUCAAGCCCCAGUAAACGGCGGCCGUAACUAUAACGGUCCUAAGGUAGCGAAAUUCCUUGUCAGGUAAGUUCUGACCCGCACGAAAGGCGUAAUGAUUUGUGCACUGUCUCGACAACACGCCCGGUGAAAUUGAAGAACCAGUGAAGAUACUGGUUACCCGCAACAGGACGGAAAGACCCCAUGGAGCUUUACUGCAGCCUGAUACUGGGAUUCGAUGAUAUAUGUACAGGAUAGGUGGGAGGCUAAGAAGCGAGAACGCCAGUUUUCGUGGAGCCGCCGGUGGGAUACCACUCUUAUGUCAUUGAAUUUCUAACCUGCAUCCGUGAUCCGGGUGAGGGACAAUGUCAGGCGGGCAGUUUGACUGGGGCGGUCGCCUCCUAAAAGGUAACGGAGGCGCUCAAAGGUCACCUCAGAAUGAUUGGAAACCAUUCAAAGAGUGUAAAGGCAAAAGGUGGCUUGACUGCGAGAGCGACGGCUCGAGCAGGUACGAAAGUAGGACUUAGUGAUCCGG